UACCACUGGCUAUAUGACCUUGGACAAAAUAAAGAAGCUUCCUGAUCUCAAGUUCUUAAUCUGUAAAAUAGGGCUUACACUAGUUGUCCUAACACUGUAAAUUGAGUGAUUCUUUGGUAGUUAUCAAUAUAUAGAAGUAGACUAGAUAGAGAUUUGAAUGGCGGGGUCCUUGUUCACAAAGACCUGGAAAACUCCAAAGGCAGCAUGAAUAUCAGACAAAAAGAAGUAAUUCUCUUAAGUUGUUUCCUGCUCUUUAAUAUCUCUUUUCUCCCAAUUUCUCCUUUUUGAUAAUCUUACUAAAGUGAGGCUGGGUCAUGUCAUAUUCUAGCUCAGAAGUCUCUCCCCGGGCCGCAGGAUGAAGACCAGCGCUCCUUUUCUUCUUGUCUUCCACCCGUGCUCUGUGCACCAGCCGCUGGAAUAGGAAAGAGACCAAGAUGGCAUGACUGUCUUUUCAUGUCCAUCACUCACGAGGAAACGAGGACUAGAAACAAGGGAGAUGUGGAAGGAAAAGCAUCCUGGCACAAAAAUGAAGAAGGGUCUGAGCAGAGGAGAGGAAACAAAACCGAGAAUUGUGGCCGUCCAAGAAGGAGAGGGAUGGACGCGAAAGGGGCUCCUCAACUGGAAAAGACGAGUUACCGCAUAAGGAGAUCUGGCUCCAGAGAACAAUUUCUUUUAAUAUGCUUCCUUUUCCUCUUUCAUUAACUCAGGAGUACUUGGCUUUUCACUGUUA